rnacentral:rRNA from 1 species
UACGUAGGGUGCAAGCGUUGUCCGGAAUUAUUGGGCGUAAAGAGCUCGUAGGCGGUUUGUCGCGUCUGCCGUGAAAGUCCGGGGCUCAACUCCGGAUCUGCGGUGGGUAUGGGCAGACCAGAGUGAUGUAGGGGAGACUGGAAUUCCUGGUGUAGCGGUGAAAUGCGCAGAUAUCAGGAGGAACACCGAUGGCGAAGGCAGGUCUCUGGGCAUUAACUGACGCUGAGGAGCGAAAGCAUGGGGAGCGAACAGG